AGAGCGAACGCUGGCGGCAGGCCUAACACAUGCAAGUCGAGCGCCCCGCAAGGGGAGCGGCAGACGGGAGAGUAACACGUGGGAACGUACCCUUUGGUUCGGAACAACACAGGGAAACUUGUGCUAAUACCGGAAUAAGCCCUUACGGGGAAAGAUUUAUCGCCAAAGGAUCGGCCCGCGUCUGAUUAGCUUGUUGGUGAGGUAACGGCUCACCAAGGCUACGAUCAGUAGCUGGUCUGAGAGGAUGAUCAGCCUCACUGGGACUGAGACACGGCCCAGACUCCUACGGGAGGCAGCAGUGGGGAAUAUUGGACAAUGGGCGCAAAGCCUGAUCCAGCCAUGCCGCGUGGAUGAUGAAGGCCCUAGGGUUGUAAAGUCUUUCGGACGGGAAGAUAAUGACGGUACCCGUAGAAGAAGCCCCGGCUAACUUCGCGCCAGCAGCCGC
rnacentral:rRNA from 1 species